rnacentral:rRNA from 1 species
GCAGCAGCCGCGGUAAUACGUAUGGGGCUAGCGUUAUCCGGAUUCAUUGGGCGUAAAGAGCGCGUAGGCGGCUUGUUAAGUCAGAUGUGAAAACCGGGGGCUCAACCCGCGGCCUGCAUCUGAAACUGGCAGGCUUGAGUCUGGUAGAGGAAAGUGGAAUUCCCAGUGUAGCGGUGAAAUGCGCAGAUAUUGGGAGGAACACCAGUGGCGAAGGCGGCUUUCUGGGCCACGACUGACGCUGAGGCGCGAAAGCUAGGGGAGCAAACAGGAUUAGAUACCCUGGUAGUCCUAGCCGUAAACGAUGGGCACUAGGUGUGGGGGGUCAUCAACUCCCUCCGUGCCGCAGCUAACGCACUAAGUGCCCCGCCUGGGGAGUACGACCGCAAGGUUAAAACUCAAAGGAAUUGACGGGGGCCCGCACAAGU